rnacentral:rRNA from 1 species
GCUACGGGUGGCAGCAGUGGGGAAUAUUGGGCAAUGGGCGAAAGCCUGACCCAGCAACGCCGCGUGAAGGAAGACGGCUUUCGGGUUGUAAACUUCUUUUGACAGGGAAGAGCAGAAGACGGUACCUGUCGAAUAAGCCACGGCUACAUACGUGCGAGCAAGCGCGGUAAUAGGUAGGUGGCAAGCGUUGUCCGGAUUUACUGGGUGUAAAGGGCGUUUAGCCGGGCUGACAAGUCAGAUGUGACAUCCGGGGGCUCAACCAUCGAACUGCAUUUGAAACUGUUGGUCAUGAGUAGCGGAGAGGCAGGCGGAAUUCCUAGUGUAGCGGUGAAAUGCGUAGAUAUUAGGAGGAACACCAGUGGCGAAGGCGGCCGGCUGGACGACAACUGACGGUGAGGCGCGAAAGCGUGGGGAGCAAACAGGAUUAGAUACCCCAGUAGUC